GAGGUGAUCGGCUCAUUCUCAACAAGCUCUGUUGUCUAUACUCGCGGUCUUCACUCGUAUAUUGGCAUAUUUUUGGGUUAAGUACCAAUCGGGACUUAAUAAAAAUAGUGAUUUAUCCGAAUCAUCAUGAACGGUGGCAAGCAAUUGGAUCCUACCGGCUUGUACUAAACAAUUUGUGCUUUUAAAGUUCUGCUUUGUCGUUUAAUCGAAGAAGUCACCACCGAUAAAAUGAAGUUCAAUGGAGGAAAGGGUUUGGACCCCACAGGGCUGUACUGAUGUGGCAUCGCGACGGAGGCGACGGCGGGCGUCAGGAGACGUCCAGCUGCCGGCGCAAGAGACUCCGAUGACGCUAAUUUAAUAUACACGACACACUGCCACCCUAGUUACCAUCUACAAACAAUUCACUCAUCAGGAGUGCCCCAAGACUGAUCAUUGUUGAUUUUUAUUAUUAAACUAAUUAAUACAUCUUUGUUAUAUUAAAUUAUAUUUUUAGUUUAAGUUCCUUACAAAAACAACGAUAUGUUGAGUUUUAUUUCUGAAAUUAUUGUGUAUAUAUAUUAUCUAUAUUAUUUAAGAUUCUGAAUGUAAACGUAAUUUAUGAAUAUUUUAUAUUUUUUUAAUUAAAAACAUAUCGCAAGUA